UGAUCAGCCAGUUCUGCGCAUGCGCUUAUCUAGCGCAUGUGCAAUACAUCGACGUGAUGGGAUCUUCAAGGAAAAUACUGCAAAUACAGAUGUCCCACGUAUUAUUUUUAUUACCAUACUUGGGAGUGUACUUGAACUGCCAUUACCUACUAGACUCGCUACGACCCAGGAGCUGGUCGGGGGGCUGAGGCUGGAUAACCCAUCAUGAGCUGGUGCAGAAGAGUAUUUUACAAAAACCCGAUUGAGUAGUUGGUUUUCACUUAUCAAUAUCGGGUUUUUAGGCAAAUCAUUGUUUUAAUACAGCUGCUACUGCUUUCAUGUUGGUAGAUAUGAGAUGAUUUUGCUGGUUCACAUAAUUCAGUUCCAAGCGGCAUCAUGUGCUUAAUAAAUAACUUUGCACUAAAUAGUACUUUAACACUGUGCAUUUCAUUUUAACAUUGUUUAUCAAAGACUUCCUGUUCUGUGGCCUGCCUCUGCUAUCAAAAUCUUCACCCUAUUCCUCUGCUCACACACUGGGUUCUGAAGUUUCAUUGGUCUUCCUCAAGUUCAUCUGCUCCCCCUCUUCAUCAAACUAUUCUUUAAUGGGAAUUAAUAACAGUUAAAAUAAAAUUGGCAAUUUUAAUCAUAUUUCUUCUGGCUCAGAUGAUGUCAAGAAGUUUGUGAUGGAAUUUGAGCUGUGACCAUCUCCAAAACCAUCCCCACCCAUUCAUUAUACAUUCUCCGCUGUAUAGGCUUUUACAAAUAUGAAGUUUAUAGGAUUUUGGACUUUCUGUGGAAAAGUGGAAUAGUAAAAGACAUAACAGUAUUUCUCUGUGUCCUACACUAUUGUCAGUAUUUCUUUCUGUCCUACAUAAACACUAUUUCUCUCUGUCCUACAACACCACCCAGGACCCCACCUCUUUUUUUUAUAAACUACAGCGAGCAGAGCCGCAACCUGUUUAACCUUUGUUCAUAAGACAACCCCUCAAGUGGGGUGGGGGCAGAGGUUAUCCAAAGCGAAUCUCCUCUGAACUGCUUCCAAUAAAACAAUAUAUUUCCUUAAAAAAGCAAAGCAAAACUGCUCACAGCACUCUAGAUGUUUUCUCACCAGCACUUCGUACAGUUGUAGUUAAGACUUUGCUAUUUUUAUACUCCAACCCAGCAUGGCAGGUUGCUGGCACUGCUGCCUCACAGCUUCAGGGACCUGGGUUUGAUUUCAUGCUCAAGCUACUGUUUGCAUAUUCUCACCACCU